GGGUGCGUGGCGCAAUGGCUAGCGUGUUUGGCUUCGAUGCUGUUUACGUAAUACCAAAAGGCUGCAGGUUCGAGUCCUGCCGUGCUCA